CAGCCGCCGCGGUAAAACCAGCACCUCAAGUGGUCAGGAUGAUCAUUGGGCCUAAAGCAUCCGUAGCCGGCUCUGUAAGUUUUCGGUUAAAUCUGUACGCUUAACGUACAGGCUGCCGGGAAUACUGCAAAGCUAGGGAGUGGGAGAAGUAGACGGUACUCGGUAGGAAGUGGUAAAAUGCUUUGAUCUAUCGAUGAUCACCUGUGGCGAAGGCGGUCUACUAGAACACGUCCGACGGUGAGGGAUGAAAGCUGGGGGAGCAAACCGGAUUAGAUACCCGGGUAGUCCCAGCUGUAAACUAUGCAAACUCAGUGAUGCAUUGGCUUGUGGCCAAUGCAGUGCUGCAGGGAAGCCGUUAAGUUUGCCGCCUGGGAAGUACGUACGCAAGUAUGAAACUUAAAGGAAUUGGCGGGGGAGCAC
rnacentral:rRNA from 2 species